AGAGUUUGAUCCUGGCUCAGAUUGAACGCUGGCGGCAUGCCUUACACAUGCAAGUCGAACGGGCUUUGGGGCUUGCUCCAAAGUUAGUGGCGAACGGGUGAGUAAUAUAUCGGAACGUACCCUUGAGUGGGGGAUAACAUAGCGAAAGUUAUGCUAAUACCGCAUACGAUCUAAGGAUGAAAGUGAGGGACCGCAAGGCCCCACGCUCCUGGAGCGGCCGAUAUCUGAUUAGCUAGUUGGUGAGGUAAAGGCUCACCAAGGCUUCGAUCAGUAGCUGGUCUGAGAGGACGAUCAGCCACACUGGGACUGAGACACGGCCCAGACUCCUACGGGAG
rnacentral:rRNA from 1 species